rnacentral:lncRNA from 1 species
ACUAUGAGAUCACAUGCAAAUAAAAGUGACUCGAUUUGCCCAAUACUAGUUUCCUCAAAGCACUAGCCAAACCACUCAGGCCCAUGGACACCAGCACCUCCGCAAAGGGAAGCACAUCACUGUGAUUAUGCAGAAUUCACCAGCAUCAGCCACAGGAUUCUCUGCCUCUGAGGCUAAUGGCAAUUAGCUGAGGGCUUGCCAGCCAGUCCUCUCCAACAGCUCAACUCCAGCCGCAGACCCAGCAGCACACCUUCCAUCCCACGGCUUCCUCCCCAGGUCAGAACCCACAGAGGGGUCUUGCCUGUGCAAAUACAGAAUUCAGGGCAGUUUUAUUUCUCAUCAAAAAACCCAAAACCACAGACCACCCAAAUGUGUCUGAACUGGGAAACAAUUUAAAGUUGGACAAUGUAUGUUAGAUAGUACUAUUUGAAAAAUUAAACUGAGUGUGAUAACUGUAUUGCGCUUAUGUAGGAGACUGUCCCAGUUCUUAGGAGGUAAACUACCAUGAUGUCUACAGUCAGCCCUCAGAUGAUUCAGAAAAAGGUACAGACAUAAAACCAGUUAGCAAGAAGCUAACAAUUGAUGAAUCCAUAUAAAUGUAUACAAUAUUCAUUUUAGCAUUCUUGCUAUUUGUUGUAGGUUUCUUAUUUUCCAAAUAAAUGGAUAGAAGACAACUAUUAAAUUGAACACAUGUACCCUACAGCCUAACGCUUCAAUUCAUAGGUUUAUACGCAACCAAAGACACGUACAAGGACUUUUGUAGCAUUAUUACUUGCAACACCGCAGAGCUGAAAAUACAAAUGUUCAUGACUUGUAAAAAGAAUAAACUAUACUACAGUUAAUUGAGUAAAGUACACAGCAAUGAAAAGGAACUUAUGAUAUACUCAGCAGCGUGGAUGAAUCUCAGAAACCUAACACUGAACAAAACAACUAAACACAACAAGCUCCUGCUGUGCUACACACUCCAUUAUAGUCUAUCUCUACUACACAACCUAGGACUGUGCUACACACUCCAUUAUAGUCUCUCUCUACUACACAACCUAGGACUAUGCUACACACUCCAUUAUAGUCUAUCUCUACUACACAACCUAGGACUGUGCUACACACUCCAUUAUAGUCUCUCUCUACUACACAACCUAGGACUGUGCUACACACUCCAUUAUAGUCUCUCUCUACUACACAACCUAGGACUGUGCUACACACUCCAUUAUAGUCUCUCUCUACUACACAACCUAGGACUGUGCUACACACUCCAUUAUAGUCUAUCUCUACUACACAACCUAGGACUGUGCUACACACUCCAUUAUGGUCUAUCUCUACUACACAACCUAGGAUGCUCCCCUGCACGGGUUUACCAAUCACCAGGGAAGACACAUUUUACAGGCCUUAUGGAGCCAACACAGCUAAGAGACAGCUUCUCCAACAUUAUUCAAGCAGCCAACCAACAAGACAACUGGCGCUAAAUACAGAAAACAGCUGUCUCUGACAUACUGAUAAAACCUCAAUCUUAUGUCUGGUAUAGUCACACACCACAUAGCAAUGUUUCAGUGAAUGACAGGCUGCAUGUACAAUGGCGGUCCCAGAAGAUUAUAGUAUCAUAUUUUUACUGUAACCUUCUCUAUGUUUAGCUAUAGAAACACAAAUGCUUACAACCGUCUUUCAACUGCCUACAGUGUUCAGUACGGUACGUGCUGUACAGGUUUGCUGCCUAGGAGCAACAGGCUCCAUCUCACACAGCCUGGGUGUGCAGCAGGCUGUACCAUCUAGCUUUGUGUUAAGUCACUCCAUGAUGUUCACACAAAGACAAAAUCGCCUAACAAUGCAUUUCUCAGAAUGUAUCCUGUUGUUAAACAAUGCCAACACUGCAUUAUUAUUUUUCCCCAAUCUACACUGUGGAACAGCACGUCCAUUGAUAAUACUGUA